rnacentral:rRNA from 1 species
ACGAACGCUGGCGGCGUGCUUAACACAUGCAAGUCGAGCGGUAAGGCCCUUUCGGGGGUACACGAGCGGCGAACGGGUGGAGUAACACGUGGGUGACCUGCCCUCAGCUCUGGGAUAAGCCUGGGAAACCGGGGUCUAAUACUGGAUAUGACUCCAUGACGCAUGUUGUGGGGUGGAAAGCCUUGUGCGGCUGAGGAUGGGCCCGCGGCCUAUCAGCUUGUUGGUGGGGUGAUGGCCUACCAAGGCGACGACGGGUAGCCGGCCUGAGAGGGCGACCGGCCACACUGGGACUGAGACACGGCCCAGACUCCUACGGGAGGCAGCAGUGGGGAAUCUUGCGCAAUGGGCGAAAGCCUGACGCAGCGACGCCGCGUGAGGGAUGACGGCCU